GAGGGGAUCUAGCGUUAUUCGAAUAACUGGGCGUAAAGCGAGCGUAGGCGGAUUUGUAAGUUGGAGGUGAAAUCCAGGGCUUAACCCUGGAACUGCCUUCAAAACUACAUUUCUUGAGUUUGGUAGAGGAGAGUGGAAUUCUAGUGUAGAGGUGAAAUUCGUAGAUAUUAGGAGGAACACCAGUGGCGAAGGCGACUCUCUGGGCCAAUACUGACGCUGAGGUUCGAAAGCGUGGGGAGCGAACGGGAUUAGAUACCCCGGUAGUCCACGCAGUAAACGAUGAGUGCUAGAUGUUGGGAACAUUAGUUUUCAGUAUCGCAGCUAACGCGUUAAGCACUCCGCCUGGGAAGUACGGCCGCAAGGCUAAAACUCAAAUGAAUUGACGGGGACCCGCACAAGCGGUGGAUCAUGUGGUUUAAUUCGAAGCAACGCGAAGAACCUUACCGGCUCUUGACAUACCAAUCGCGGAUCUAAGAGAUUAGAUCCUUCACUUCGGGUGGAUUGGAUACAGGUGCUGCAUGGCUGUCGUCAGCUCGUGUCGUGAGAUGUUGGGUUAAGUCCCGCAACGAGUGCAACCCCUACUUUCAAUUGCCAGCACGUAAUGGUGGGAACUUUGAAGGAACUGCCGGUGAUAAGCCGGAGGAAGGUGGGGAUGACGUCAAGUCCUCAUGGCCCUUACGGGCCGGGCUACACACGUGAUACAAUGGUGAUUACAAAGGGCUGCUAAAGAGCGAUCUCAAGCAAAUCCUUAAAAGUCAUCUCAGUUCGGAUUGCACUCUGCAACUCGAGUGCAUGAAGUUGGAAUCGCUAGUAAUCGUAGAUCAGCGCGCUACGGUGAAUACGUUCCCGGGUCUU
rnacentral:rRNA from 1 species